GUUGAUAAAGCUUUCAUUUCUCAAAAAAAAUAUUGAGAUUAGAUUUUAUGAUAUUAGUUCCAUUAGUGUCCUUCUAAUGUUGUAAUAACAAUUGUUAUCUCCUUCAUCUCUCUAAAUCUCCAUCUCAGCAACUAUAUAUUCAAACUCAAAAUUAAUUAUUUUCCUUUGUCUUGAUAAUUUUGGUAAUUAAUUUUGAUUAUUUCUUUAGAUUUAUCCCAAGACAAACAAAAGUGGGCCAUAAGACUUCAGUGAGAUAGCUAAUUAGCAUCAAUGCAUAUUUUCUUUUUCUUUUUUUUUUUUCCCUUUCCCUUUGCCUUCAUUUUUUCUUUUACUGCUUUCUCAUAAUUUCCCUUUAUGUCUUGUGAGUUUUCUUCAGUAUCCAUAAAACCCUUGGAUUUUGACCGAAAUAUUACAUUUUUUGGUGACUAAUAUCAGUCGGAGCAAGUCUUUCCAUCCUCUUUCUCUAGUUUUAAGCUUGGAGUUCUAUUACACUCACUAGACCUCUGGAUGACCUUUCCUCUUCUCAAAAUAUUUCUUUAAAAAAUUUGUUGCCUUUGUCUAUGAGAUCGAGCUUGAAGCUAGUGGUCGGUGCCAUUGAUUGAGGGUCUAGAUCUUGAUGAGAAGGAUAAGAAUCGAAGAGAAAUUUAUUCUGCAAUCUGCGUAUGCAAAGUUUAACGGUACCCUGCAAUGUCCAUUAAGAUUUCGUAUAUGCUGCUUUCUUUGAUUGCUCUUUUGUUGGUAGUUGUGGUUGUGGCAAUAGCUACAUUGAUUAUGCAAUUUGUUGAAUUUUUGUGGUUGUUAAUAACAGUCAUUUCGCGGCUGUUAGCAAUUAAGAGUUCAUGUAAAUGGGUUUCUUGGAUAUGAACAAUUUCUGGUUUUAUAAAGGGUACUACUUGUCAAUUUAAAA